GUGAGUAACGCGUGAGCAACCUACCUUAGUUACUGGGAUAGCCCGAGGAAACUCGGAUUAAUACCGGAUAUUCUUAUUUAAUCACAUGAUUUUUUAAGGAAAGGUCAGCCGAACUAAGGUGGGCUCGCGUUCUAUCAGCUAGUUGGUAGGGUAAUGGCCUACCAAGGCUACGACGGAUAGCUGGUCUGAGAGGACGAUCAGCCACACUGGGACUGAGACACGGCCCAGACUCCUACGGGAGGCUGCAGCAGGGAAUAUUGCGCAAUGAGCGAAAGCUUGACGCAGCGACACCGCGUGUGGGAUGACGGAUCUAGGUUUGUAAACCACUUUCAGGAGGGAAGAAAAUGACGGUACCUCCACAAGAAGCCCCGGCCAACUACGUGCCAGCAGCCGCGGUAAUACGUAGGGGGCGAGCGUUGUCCGGAUUUAUUGGGCGUAAAGAGCUCGUAGGCGGUUCAACAAGUCGGUCGUGAAAGUUCAGGGCUCAACCCUGAAAUGUCGAUCGAUACUGUUGUGACUAGGAUACGGUAGAGGUGAGUGGAAUUCCGAGUGUAGCGGUGAAAUGCGUAGAUAUUCGGAGGAACACCAAUUGCGAAGGCAGCUCACUGGGCCGCUAUCGAC
rnacentral:rRNA from 1 species